CUACGGAGGGUCCAAGCGUUAUCCGGAUUCAUUGGGUUUAAAGGGUCCGCAGGCGGGAAAAUAAGUCAGUGGUGAAAGCCUACAGCUCAACUGUAGAACUGCCAUUGAUACUGUUUUUCUUGAGUAUAGACGAAGUGGGCGGAAUAUAUCAUGUAGCGGUGAAAUGCAUAGAUAUGAUAUAGAACACCGAUUGCGAAGGCAGCUCACUAAACUAUUACUGACGCACAGGGACGAAAGCGUGGGGAGCGAACAGGAUUAGAAACCCUAGUAGUCC
rnacentral:rRNA from 1 species